rnacentral:tRNA from 1 species
GCAGGUAUAGCUCAAUGGUAGAGUAUGUGCUUAGCAUGCACAAGGUCCUGGGUUCAAUCCCUAGUACCUCCA